rnacentral:tRNA from 1 species
CUCGGGAUGGAGCAGUCUGGUAGCUCGUCGGGCUCAUAACCCGAAGGUCGUAGGUUCAAAUCCUGCUCCCGCAA